UCCCAGUGGCUUAGUUGGUAAAGAAUCUGCCUGCAGUGCAGGAGACCUGGGUUCAAUCCCCAGGUUGGGAA
rnacentral:tRNA from 1 species